UUUGGUGGCUCGACGCAGAGGUUACACCCGUUCUCAUUCCGAACACGGAAGUUAAGCUCUGUAGUGCCGAUGAUACUCGCAAGGGGAAAGUAGGUAGCCGCCAGAA
rfam:Candidatus Zambryskibacteria bacterium RIFOXYD2_FTLL_43_10 rifoxyd2_full_scaffold_1142, whole genome shotgun sequence.